UGAAAGUACUCAGCUGUGUCAGGUUAAUC
rnacentral:piRNA from 1 species